CCAGAGCUGAGUCUUCUGUGAUCUCAACAAGGAAGAAGAAUGGAGAAACUCCUGGGAGUGUCUUUGGUGAUCCUAUGGCUUCAACUGGCCAGAGUCAACAGCCAAAAAGUAGAACAGAAUCUUCAGGCCCUGAGCAUCCAGGAGGGUGAAAAUGUCACCAUGAACUGCAGUUAUAAAACUACUAUAACCAAUUUACAGUGGUAUAGACAAGAUGCAGGUAGAGGCCUUGCUCUACUGAUUUUAAUACGUUCACAUGAGAAACUCAAACCUGGUGGAAGACUACAAGUCACGCUUGACUCCUCCAGCAAAAGCAGCUCCCUGUCCAUCACGGCUUCCCGGGCUGCAGACACUGCUACUUACUUCUGUGCUACUAAGAAGACUAAGUCCCUGAUCUCAGGAGCACCAAGUCCAGUUUGGAAAACAAGACACAGAUGA